AAUGACACUGUGAUAUCUGUCUGCUAUGGACAGGGAACUAGGGUCUAAUUCAAGUGAGGGUGGGGGACAGAAGGGGACAGGAGGUGUUGGGAGCAGCCGCCCAUGGAAUGGAGUGUCAGAGUCCAGAACAUGCCGCACAGAAGGCGAUGCCCUUCACCCAGCCUUCGCACGUCACCGAAUCAACGGUUCAAGGCUACCAGAUGGAGAAGAACGGGCAGAUGGCCAAGGCAAACAAGCCCUGAGACGCAUUUGGGGACCUCUUGCCAUGGGAGAAGCACAAGACCUGGACAGUAAGCACAGAAUCCUCGCCAGGACCCAUCAACAGGAGGCGACCUGGUCCACACUGAACCCAAGAACCUGAUCUGGAAAACAAGGCCCUCCUGAGCCCUGCCAGGUUAAACAUACAUCCACAUGUGCCCACAAACAUCUGGCCAGCACUAACCUGACCUUUGGAAAGCCAACUGUGACAGACAGACCUGCUUUCUUCCUGAGUCCAGGCCUGGAGCUGAGCUCAGCACAUUCCCACCAGAAGACAAUGUCCUCAUCCACUUGGAGCUAGCUGUCUUGACAGGAAGUAAAAGGAAAUGGUUGCUGUAAUACAACCACGGGAUGCCCUUAAGAUGUCCAACCACGGGAAAAGAUUGAACUGGGUACUACAAUACAUGUCCUUAUGAUGUCCAA